CCACUUGGAGCACCCGCACUUCAUGGAGGUGACCCUCGCCUCCCCGCAAGGCCUCUACCUGCGAGAUGUGAUUGGUCGGCUGGACGCCGUGAGAGGGAAGGGAAUGGCAGCCAAGUAUUCCUGGUCCUGCAAGAGGAGCUACAAGACUGGAUUCGUGUGGCACGAUCUUUAUGCGGAUG